UUGAACGCUGGCGGCAUGCCUUACACAUGCAAGUCGAACGGCAGCACGGGUGCUUGCACCUGGUGGCGAGUGGCGAACGGGUGAGUAAUACAUCGGAACAUGUCCUGUAGUGGGGGAUAGCCCGGCGAAAGCCGGAUUAAUACCGCAUACGAUCUACGGAUGAAAGCGGGGGACCUUCGGGCCUCGCGCUAUAGGGUUGGCCGAUGGCUGAUUAGCUAGUUGGUGGGGUAAAGGCCUACCAAGGCGACGAUCAGUAGCUGGUCUGAGAGGACGACCAGCCACACUGGGACUGAGACACGGCCCAGACUCCUACGGGAGGCAGCAGUGGGGAAUUUUGGACAAUGGGCGAAAGCCUGAUCCAGCAAUGCCGCGUGUGAAGAAGGCCUUCGGGUUGUAAAGCACUUUUGUCCGGAAAGAAAUCCUUGGCUCUAAUACAGUCGGGGGAUGACGGUACCGGAAGAAUAAGCACCGGCUAACUACGUG
rnacentral:rRNA from 1 species